rnacentral:rRNA from 1 species
UGGGGAAUCUUGCGCAAUGGGCGAAAGCCUGACGCAGCGACGCCGCGUGAGGGAAGAAGGCUUUCGGGUUGUAAACCUCUUUCAGGAGGGACGAAGCCACUCGGGUUAAUAGCCUAGAGGGUGACGGUACCUCCAGAAGAAGCCCCGGCUAACUACGUGCCAGCAGCCGCGGUAAUACGUAGGGGGCGAGCGUUGUCCGGAAUUAUUGGGCGUAAAGAGCGUGUAGGCGGCUAGAUAGGUCCGCUGUGAAAACUCGAGGCUUAACCUCGAGAUGUCGGCGGAAACCAUUUGGCUAGAGUCCGGAAGAGGAGAGUGGAAUUCCUGGUGUAGCGGUGGAAUGCGCAGAUAUCAGGAAGAACACCCGUGGCGAAGGCGGCUCUCUGGGACGGUACUGACGCUGAGACGCGAAAGCGUGGGGAGCGAACAG